GACGAACUGUCCUACCGUUGUUCGGAAUCACUGGGCUUACAGGGCGCGUAGGCGGUCCAACAAGUCAGGGGUGAAAUCCUGCAGCUCAACUGCAGAAGUGCCUUUGAUACUGUUGGUCUUGAGGGAGAUAGGGGUGUGCGGAACUCACAGUGGAGCGGUGAAAUGCGUUGAUAUUGUGAGGAACGCCGGAGGCGAAAGCGGCGCACUGGAUCUCUUCUGACGCUGAGGCGCGAAAGCUAGGGGAGCAAACGGG
rnacentral:rRNA from 1 species